UACAGAGGGUGCGAGCGUUGUCCGGAAUCACUGGGCGUAAAGGGCGCGUAGGCGGUGACUUAAGCGUGUGGUGAAAGCUCGGGGCUCAACCCCGAGUCGGCCGUGCGAACUGGGUCACUGGAGCAUGUCAGAGGCAGGCGGAAUUCCGGGUGUAGCGGUGGAAUGCGUAGAGAUCCGGAAGAACACCGGUGGCGAAGGCGGCCUGCUGGGACAUUGCUGACGCUGAGGCGCGACAGCGUGGGGAGCAAACAGG
rnacentral:rRNA from 1 species